rnacentral:rRNA from 1 species
GACGAACACUGGCGGCGUGCUUAACACAUGCAAGUCGAACGGAAAGGCCUUUUCGGAGGUACUCGAGUGGCGAACGGGUGAGUAACACGUGGGUGAUCUGCCCUGCACUCUGGGAUAAGCCUGGGAAACUGGGUCUAAUACCGGAUAGGACCGCACUUUAGUGUGUGUGGUGGAAAGUUUUUUCGGUGUAGGAUGAGCCCGCGGCCUAUCAGCUUGUUGGUGGGGUAAUGGCCUACCAAGGCGGCGACGGGUAGCCGGACUGAGAGGUUGGUCGGCCACAUUGGGACUGAGAUACGGCCCAGACUCCUACGGGAGGCAGCAGUGGGGAAUAUUGCACAAUGGGCGCAAGCCUGAUGCAGCGACGCCGCGUGGGGGAUGACGGCCUUCGGGUUGUAAACUCCUUUCGCCAGGGACGAAGCGUUUUGUGACGGUACCUGGAGAAGAAGCACCGGCUAACUACGUG